rnacentral:rRNA from 1 species
UGUUUCGGCUAGGGGGCCAUCCCGGCUUACCAACCCGAUGCAAACUGCGAAUACCGGAGAAUGUUAUCACGGGAGACACACGGCGGGUGCUAACGUCCGUCGUGAAGAGGGAAACAACCCAGACCGCCAGCUAAGGUCCCAAAGUCAUGGUUAAGUGGGAAACGAUGUGGGAAGGCCCAGACAGCCAGGAUGUUGGCUUAGAAGCAGCCAUCAUUUAAAGAAAGCGUAAUAGCUCACUGGUCGAGUCGGCCUGCGCGGAAGAUGUAACGGGGCUAAACCAUGCACCGAAGCUGCGGCAGCGACGCUCAGGCGUUGUUGGGUAGGGGAGCGUUCUGUAAGCCUGUGAAGGUGGCCUGUGAGGGUUGCUGGAGGUAUCAGAAGUGCGAAUGCUGACAUAAGUAACGAUAAAGCGGGUGAAAAGCCCGCUCGCCGGAAGACCAAGGGUUCCUGUCCAACGUUAAUCGGGGCAGGGUGAGUCGACCCCUAAGGCGAGGCCGAAAGGCGUAGUCGAUGGGAAACGGGUUAAUAUUCCCGUACUUGGUGUUACUGCGAAGGGGGGACGGAGAAGGCUAUGUUGGCCGGGCGACGGUUGUCCCGGUUUAAGCGUGUAGGUGUGUGUUCCAGGUAAAUCCGGUUCACUUUAACACUGAGGCGUGACGACGAGGCACUACGGUGCUGAAGCAACAAAUGCCCUGCUUCCAGGAAAAGCCUCUAAGCAUCAGGUAACAUCAAAUCGUACCCCAAACCGACACAGGUGGUCAGGUAGAGAAUACCAAGGCGCUUGAGAGAACUCGGGUGAAGGAACUAGGCAAAAUGGUGCCGUAACUUCGGGAGAAGGCACGCUGACACGUAGGUGAAGUGAUUUACUCAUGGAGCUGAAGUCAGUCGAAGAUACCAGCUGGCUGCAACUGUUUAUUAAAAACACAGCACUGUGCAAACACGAAAGUGGACGUAUACGGUGUGACGCCUGCCCGGUGCCGGAAGGUUAAUUGAUGGGGUCAGCGCAAGCGAAGCUCCUGAUCGAAGCCCCGGUAAACGGCGGCCGUAACUAUAACGGUCCUAAGGUAGCGAAAUUCCUUGUCGGGUAAGUUCCGACCUGCACGAAUGGCGUAAUGAUGGCCAGGCUGUCUCCACCCGAGACUCAGUGAAAUUGAACUCGCUGUGAAGAUGCAGUGUACCCGCGGCAAGACGGAAAGACCCCGUGAACCUUUACUAUAGCUUGACACUGAACAUUGAGCCUUGAUGUGUAGGAUAGGUGGGAGGCUUUGAAGCGUGGACGCCAGUCUGCGUGGAGCCGACCUUGAAAUACCACCCUUUAAUGUUUGAUGUUCUAACGUGGACCCGUUACCCGGGUUGCGGACAGUGUCUGGUGGGUAGUUUGACUGGGGCGGUCUCCUCCUAAAGAGUAACGGAGGAGCACGAAGGUUGGCUAAUCCUGGUCGGACAUCAGGAGGUUAGUGCAAUGGCAUAAGCCAGCUUGACUGCGAGCGUGACGGCGCGAGCAGGUGCGAAAGCAGGUCAUAGUGAUCCGGUGGUUCUGAAUGGAAGGGCCAUCGCUCAACGGAUAAAAGGUACUCCGGGGAUAACAGGCUGAUACCGCCCAAGAGUUCAUAUCGACGGCGGUGUUUGGCACCUCGAUGUCGGCUCAUCACAUCCUGGGGCUGAAGUAGGUCCCAAGGGUAUGGCUGUUCGCCAUUUAAAGUGGUACGCGAGCUGGGUUUAGAACGUCGUGAGACAGUUCGGUCCCUAUCUGCCGUGGGCGCUGGAGAACUGAGGGGGGCUGCUCCUAGUACGAGAGGACCGGAGUGGACGCAUCACUGGUGUUCGGGUUGUCAUGCCAAUGGCACUGCCCGGUAGCUAAAUGCGGAAGAGAUAAGUGCUGAAAGCAUCUAAGCACGAAACUUGCCCCGAGAUGAGUUCUCCCUGAGACUUUAGGUCUC